rnacentral:lncRNA from 1 species
CAGAUCUAGCUCUCUCUUCUCAAUCUCCUCCAGAUGAGAUCUUCAGAGACGUGCAGAAAGUGUGCAGAUACGCUUGCUGCUCAUUUAUGCAAAGAAGAUUCAGAGUUUUUGUCUAUCAUUCUAAUUAGAUCUGAUAUAGGGCCUGGAAUUUAGCUCAGUGGUUCUGGUGCCUACCUCACAAGCUCAAGGACCUGAGUUCAAUUCCCGGUACCCCCCCAAAAAAAGAAAAAAACCAAACAAACUAAUUAGAUCUGAGAUGGUCAUACUAGGAACAUUCCAGAAAAAAUCUAAUUCAAGAGUUAGGCCCUAUUUUUGCAGCCAUAUGCUGAUAAAACCUUGUAAAUAAUAUCAGCCAUCUUAAAUUUGCUUCAUUUGUGUUGUAGUCAGGGUUUUGCAAGGGAAAUAGAUUAUAAAUCCUAUAAAUUAUCCACCCAAAAGGUCAAUUGCAGAGGAAUGCUAGAGAUUAGCCAUACACUAGAGGCCCAAAGAAUCCAGCCAAGGGCCUCGAUCCCAGCAAUGUCUCACACAAGUCCAGCUGUAGGCCAAGAGUCCAAGGCAGUGUCCUCCAUGAGUCCAGCCAGUGGCCUAGAGCCCAUGGCAGUGUCUCAUGCUUGUCUGUACUGAGGAUCUGCACCGGGAAAGCUCAAAGGCCAUUGGUGGAAGCCAGAAAACCUACACCGGUGGAAGGAAAGAUUUGUGCCACCAGGCUGAGAGAUCCACAUUGGAGUCAGGAAUUGACACAGUGAAGAUCAGAGCUCCCCUGACGAGAACACCAGCCAUUCCCAGCAACAGCGAGACUACAACCUCCUCCUCCAACAUGAGCACAGCCAAAUUCACAUCAGGAAAACCACCUGCAGCAAGCUUCUCGAAAAUCAACAGCCCACUAUCUUCCCCUCCACUUCUCUCUUUAUGCCCUUGGCCACAAUCCUCAGAUCGCUCCUUGUUUUUGGGUGAGGAAGAUUGAAGUCAACAGAACAGCAAGCAGCAAGCAGUGGGUAAUAACUAAAUGUGUGUCUGUCAGAAUAAAAAGAAAGGCCUUCCUGCUGUUGGGCAGGGGUUUUCGGAAAGGCAGAAAAGCACAAAUAAAAAGUUUAAGUCCAAGGGCUUUUAUACAGUUUUAGGUUAAACUGCUUUGUUUGUAUUUCACUUACCCCAGGGCUUUUCCAUUGUGGUUAGGAACUUGUUUUUGUCCCUUACAUCCCAUUUAGCCUGGACAGUCAGUUUGCUUAAGUUAAUUAUUCUAACCCUUUGUCAACUCACUUAGCCCUUACUUUGAGUUUACUUCAGGUUAACUAUUCAAGAACCGUGCCCU